rnacentral:lncRNA from 1 species
GCAACAACACCCCAGAACCCCUAACAACAGCCCAGUACCCAUAGCAACAAUACCCAUAACAACAACACCCCAACAACACCCAACACCCCCCAACAACAGCACCCAAUACCCCCAACAACACCCCAGCACCCAUAGGAACACCCCAGCACCCCUAUCAACCCCCCCAGCACCCAUAGCAACACCCCAAACAACACCCCAACACCCCAACCACACCCCAACACCCAUACGAACACCCCAGCACCCCAAAGAACAGCCCAACACCCAUAGCAACAGCCCAAGCAACAAGGCCCCGACACCCACAACAACACCCAGCAGGCCCCAACAACACCCAACAGCACCCAUAGCAACACCCAGCACCCAUAGGAACACCCCAACACCCAUAGGAACACCCCAGCAUCCCAAUAACACCCUGAGCACCCAUAGGAACACCCCAGCACCCAUAGGAACACCCCAACACCCAUAGGAACAACCCAGCACCCAUAGGAACAACCAGCACCCCAAACAACACCCUGAGCACCCAUAGGAACACCCCAGCACCCCAAUAACACCCUGAGCACCCAUAGGAACACCCCAGCACCCCAAUAACACCCUGAGCACCCAUAGGAACACCCAGCACCCAUAGGAACACCCAGCACCCAUAGGAACACCCAGCACCCAUAGGAACACCCAGCACCCAUAGGAACACCCAGCACCCCAAACAUCACCCUGAGCACCCAUAGGAACACCCCAGCACCCCCAAUAACACCCUGAGCACCCAUAGGAACACCCCAACACCCAUAGGAACACCCCAGCACCCCAAACAACCCCCCCAGCACCCAUAGGAACACCUCAGCACCCCAAUAACACCCUGAGCACCCAUAGGAACACCCCAACACCCAUAGGAACACCCCGGCACCCCCAACAACACCCUGAGCACCCAUAGGAACACCUCAGCACCCCAAUAACACCCUGAGCACCCAUAGGAACACCCCAGCACCCCAAACAACACCCCAGCACCCAUAGGAACACCCCAACACCCAUAGGAACACCCCAGCACCCAUAGGAACACCCCAACACCCCAAACAACACCCU